AGUGAACGCUGGCGGUAGGCCUAACACAUGCAAGUCGAACGGCAGCACAGUAAGAGCUUGCUCUUACGGGUGGCGAGUGGCGGACGGGUGAGGAAUACAUCGGAAUCUACUUUUUCGUGGGGGAUAACGUAGGGAAACUUACGCUAAUACCGCAUACGACCUACGGGUGAAAGCAGGGGAUCUUCGGACCUUGCGCGAUUGAAUGAGCCGAUGUCGGAUUAGCUAGUUGGCGGGGUAAAGGCCCACCAAGGCGACGAUCCGUAGCUGGUCUGAGCGGAUGAUCAGCCACACUGCAACUGAGACACGGUCCAGACUCCUACGGGAGGCAGCAGUGGGGAAUAUUGGACAAUGGGCGCAAGCCUGAUCCAGCCAUACCGCGUGGGUGAAGAAGGCCUUCGGGUUGUAAAGCCCUUUUGUUGGGAAAGAAAAGCAGCAGGUUAAUACCCCGCUGUUCUGACGGUACCCAAAGAAUAAGCACCGGCUAACUUCGUG
rnacentral:rRNA from 1 species